rnacentral:lncRNA from 1 species
GUUUGUUUUGCUAAAAAUAUCUAUAGUAGGUCCUUACUUUUGAUAUUUUAGCUCAAGUUCUACGUUCUUUAACCCGUCUAAAUUAGCAACCUAUACUAAGCAUAAUUUCCAAACAAUUAAAGAAUAAGCAUCAAGAUUAAUAUCAUCAUCAUGUUCCAUCUUUACUCAGUGCAGAAUAGCGAUUAAGCAAUCCCAAACUAUGAGAGGCAGAUGAAUCGAUUCG